CCUACGGGGGGCAGCAGUGGGGAAUAUUGGACAAUGGGGGCAACCCUGAUCCAGCCAUGCCGCGUGUGUGAAGAAGGCCUUUUGGUUGUAAAGCACUUUAAGCGAGGAGGAGGGCACUUUGGCUAAUACCCGAAUGUGUCGGACGUUACUCGCAGAAUAAGCACCGGCUAACUCUGUGCCAGCAGCCGCGGUAAUACAGAGGGUGCGAGCGUUAAUCGGAAUUACUGGGCGUAAAGCGCGCGUAGGCGGUUAUGUAAGUUGGAUGUGAAAUCCCCGGGCUUAACCUGGGCACUGCAUUCAAAACUGCAUAGCUAGAGUAUGGGAGAGGAAGGUAGAAUUCCAGGUGUAGCGGUGAAAUGCGUAGAGAUCUGGAGGAAUACCGAUGGCGAAGGCAGCCUUCUGGCCUAAUACUGACGCUGAGGUGCGAAAGCAUGGGGAGCAAACAGGAUUAGAUACCCCAGUAGUC
rnacentral:rRNA from 1 species